rnacentral:snRNA from 1 species
GUGCUUGCUUCAGCAGCACAUAUACUAAAAUUGGAAUAACACAAAGAUAAACAUGUUCCCUGAGCAAGAAUGACAUGCACAAAUAAUUUUUUU